rnacentral:rRNA from 1 species
UACGUAGGGCGCAAGCGUUAUCCGGAAUUAUUGGGCGUAAAGAGCUUGUAGGCGGUUUGUCGCGUCUGCUGUGAAAAUCCGGGGCUCAACCCCGGAUCUGCGGUGGGUACGGGCAGACUAGAGUGAUGUAGGGGAGACUGGAAUUCCUGGUGUAGCGGUGAAAUGCGCAGAUAUCAGGAGGAACACCGAUGGCGAAGGCAGGUCUCUGGGCAUUAACUGACGCUGAGGAGCGAAAGCAUGGGGAGCGAACAGG